GAGAGAGGUAACACGAGAAGCUCUGAAUACCUGUGGUCCAGCAUUUCUGAGGGACUAAGCAGCUCAGGCCAGUGGAUAGCAGUAUUAUGCUUGCUACAAGAAAUUAACAGACGAGUCUGGAGGUGAGCCCGAGCAGACCAAGACACCUAGACGUCCCUUGGAAGAACAGCAGUGCAGGGGUUCCGGCAAGACUAUCCCAGCAUUGACCCUUUUUCCAAAGGAAAAACAUCUCUUUUCAGGAUUUCAGUGCCAGAAGUCACAAAGGGCCAUUCUGAGGGCGGUAGAGUGGCCUUCAGGAAUCCCAGGUCCUAGAGAUUAGGCUGAAAGGCUGGAGCAAGGAAGAUGUACCGUUGGUGGAAGAGGAUCGGGUCAGGGAAUACUUAAGUAAACUGGACACCUUAGCAGGAGAUACAGACUACAAAGAGGAGCAUCGUAUAGCCCAGGUAUGAAGAUGGAGAAUAAAGGUGGUAGAUGAGAAACAAAAAAUGCAUGUUGCAAGUUUGAAGCAGGAAAACAUCAGUAGAUAUCUUUGGUGGAGGCUGAAAAGUCAGCAAAGAGCAACGGCCGGAGUGAGGGGAAGACUUAAUUCUGACACCUCACCUGAACUGAUUUCUGUUAACAGGUUUAAAGAUCCAUUUUGUUGCGCUUUCCUGAAUGGAAAGGUUUUGCAGAGACUUCUCAAAAAGACAGCAAAGUCUAGCUGUGUGAGUGUCUGAGCCUCUGAAGUUGCCAGCAGUCAGGAGAUGCAUGCUAGCAAAGAGGCUGGAAGUACUGGAAGCCUUUCAGAUGCACACGGUAACAUGAAGUGGAUCCAUCUGCCUUUAGAGAGCAGGAAUGGGAAGAGCCUUGGGGAGAGGCUACAACAGCACACAGAGGAGGAGGGCAGCACAAUCCAACUGGAUGUCUGCACGAGCCGCGGUACCCUGGGGACCUGGGAGGAGGAGAGGAGCUGUGCCUGCAAGGUACCACAGCUUUUCGCUACACUGAGAUGAGGACAGUUUGUAUGGCAACAUUUAUCUGAGCAAGGCUGUGUUAGAGUAACAGGCAGUGUAGUUCUGUACACGGUGAAAGCUGCACGUGAGUUUUACUUUGCUCUCUGUGUUGGAGUAAAUUGAAGAAAAAUGAAUCCAGAGUGCCACUGCCCUCCUAAAUGGGGGAGUUCAGCCUGAGCCUCAUCUGCGCAGCAGGGAGCGAGAGCAGCAGGAGCAAAGUGUGCUCUGUGUGACACGGGUACUAGCCUGGUAUUUUAUGCGUUAGAGGAAUGUCAGUGUGAAUUACACAGCACAGUGAUCCCCGCAGAUCUGCCUGGUAACAGUAUGUUUGCAGGCUUAUGUUCUGGCACUUUCUUCCAGUGCCGCCAGGCCUUGUGAUCUCGCACAGUUCUCCAGCUUGAAGGGACACAAAGAGAUUCCCUGGCAGACUUUGGUUGUGCGUCCCACUGCCUUCAUGAAGGCAGAUGGGAAUGACAGCUAGCUCGAUUUGGCAGUAACCUGGUGUUUUCACUAUGGGAAAAACACAGCUUUAAAAUCACCUAGUUAUGUUUGUGAAACAACAUGUUCCAGAUUGAUUACUUACUUCUGGAAGCUGCUGCUGUUGAAAGUGUAGCUGUUAAAGACUUUCAGGUGCAGCAAGUCAGGGUCAUCCACAUAAAUCAUUGCCUGCUGUUGACAAGAAAUUUAACAAUUUGGAUUAGUUGUUAGGAGAGCAUGCACAAUUGAAUAGGUUGAAAUCUUAAUGGUGGUUUUCCUUACUAUUUGAUACAGCUAGUAAAAAAUAAAAAACAACAAUAAAAAUCACUCACCACAAGCUUUAAUUAUUCUAUGUAGUAGGCAGAAAUGUCUCGAGACAACAUUCUGAAAAAAGCCUUAGUUGAUCAAAACCAGAUUCCUCCGUGUACGCACAAAUGAUUGACUUGCAUUCAUUUAAUACUUGCAACUAGCUAUAUCUGGAAAAAUCAUUAUCGCAAGCUUCUUUGCUUAUAAAGGAGCUCAGCAGAAAGGGAGGAGGACAGGGAAUAAGAAGAAACACUGCAGGGAUAUGAAAGGAAAGAGAUGGUACAGCAAGUUAUGGAAGAUGCCUCCAGUGGAAGAACAGAGGGCAAAGUCUAAUGCUCAUCUCCCUGCCUCACCAUAGGGCAGUUUGCCAUACUGCAGGCACAUCAGUUCACUUCUGUACUGCCUUGUAGAGUGAGCCCCAGGUAGUUCUUGAGGAAAGCAUAAGAAUGUGUUUAAGGUUUGUUUGUUAUUAACUCUGUCCUUACCCAACACCACUCAGGCUUCUCCACCCAGGAGAGCUGUUUGGUGGUACCCCAGGCAGUCCUGCGUGCUCAAAUGUCACUGCGUGCUUUCAGGCCAGUGCUCUCUGCAUCAGGCUGUAAGGAUGCCAUGCUGGUAGUCACCGUUACUUUGAACCAAAAACAAAAAGGAAAAGAAAGUUUC